AAUGUAUGUCUUAUAUAUAAUUUUAGAAUGGAUAUUAUUUUGAGGAGGAAAGGUGGAUAAUCACUUACAUUUGUUUGCGUGGACAUGCAUCAUAUUAUAGACAGUGAUUAGGCGGGUGGAUAGUAUAUAUGAAUUGGGAAGGUGGAGGCUAAAUACCGAGGCCUUGAGGGUGAUUUACGAAUCCAUAUGUCCAAGGUGGAACUCCUAUGUGACUCAUGCUGAUCCCAUGAUGUUGGGACGAACUUAUCAAACUGGACAGCCCUGACUAGUCACCUGACAAUAUUUUACUAGUGAGAGUGUAAAGCAUCGAAGUUAACCAGUGAGGUGUUGCUUCAAUAGAGACGCUGAACAUGUACUCCUAGUCUACUAGCUAGAUUUAGAAUUGGUACCAAUGCAUAUCAAAGGUCCAUAACUUUUGUGAAAAAUUCAUAAAAGGAUCGUGUGACAUUACUCCUCAUACACCUCCGAGCAGAGUAUGGUUGACACCUCAGAGUAUGCUCUCGUGUGACUUAUAUGCAGAUCAUUCUCAACUGUACACUAUUAUACCAUGUACAUGCUGUAAAACGUAUCUCACCUCUCUCUUUUCAAGAAAGUCACUAUUAAUCGAAUUCUUUCACCAUCAUAGCAGACAUAUGCAACGUUUUCCUGCUCAACGCAUCUGCAACCACAUUGGCUUUGCCCGGCUGGUAAUUCAAACCAAAAUCAUAAUCCUUCAACAGCUCUAACCAUCUUCUCUGCCUCAUGUUCAAUUCUUUCUGAUCAAAUAAAUAUUUCAGACUUUUGUGAUCACUAAAUACUUCAAAUCUGGAUCCGUACAAAUAAUGCCUCCAAAUUUUCAAAAUAAAAACCACCGCAGCCAACUACAAAUCAUGUGUAGGAUAAUUCUUUUCAUGAAUCCUCAACUACUUAGAAGCAUAAGCUACCACCUUACCAUCUUGCAUCAAAACACCACCUAAGCCCAACUUAGACGCAUCAGAAUAAACAACAAAAGGUUUUUCCGGCUUUGGUAAAAUCAAAAUAGGAG
rnacentral:lncRNA from 1 species